GAUGACUCCAGCUACUUGGAAGUCUUCAAGCCAGUCAUAAUCCUUAAUGAGGUGUUACAACUGCAGUCAAUAUGACCUCGACCUUUGCUUUUGCAGAGAAAGGACAGUUGCUUACCAGAUGUUUAUAAAUUGGUUCUUUCGUACAACCAAUUGGAUAUUCUUGUGUUGUGUGAAUUCCUUUUUACCAAAAGUUAUGAGGAACCUCAGAGGUUUUGGGCCCUCAAGGAGGAAUUCGAGAAGUCCUCAGGGCUUUCGUCUAUUGGUAAGAGCACAACGCAUGAUGUGUGGAUUAGGUGCAUGUCACAAGUUUGAACUCUGCCGCAGACAGAAUCCUGGUAUUUAAGUGGAGAAGGGUUAAGGUACAGGUCCAUUAUCCACCGAACUUCAGACUCUGCACCAGUUGGCUCUCAAAAUAUUUCAGUUGUCAACGAAAAUAGAAGAGAUUUUGGGAGCAUAUACCUUGUGAAAAGGAAGGGUACAUAAUUUGUGCAGUCAGGAACUGGUGAAGCUGGGGUAUCAGAAAGUGACUGCAUCAUAGGAUUUAUCCAACAGCUGUUGUUCGAUUGUUUGUGUUCCCUUAAGUAGUGAUUUUUUCUUAAUCAUGAUUAGUUAGGGAGGUUGUAUUCUAGUAAUCUGUGCAUUAUUUUCUAUUUUGGAACAUGCGUACACACCCCCUAGUAGCUUCAAAGAGAAAUCAAGUUGUGCAUUCUCAAUGUGUCUCCCUCUCUUCGUCUUACUAUAGAAUUCUGAAGGACAACACUAAAUCCUUGGCUUUUGGUUAUUUUGAGACUUAACUGCUAUGUCAUACUUUUUCAGGAUUUCAAAGACAAAAUACCCAUGCUACAAUAGAAAUCUGGUCAAAUGGAUUUUGUCUGAACCAACAGAUCGUCUCUGCUGAGCCUUCUGCAGCACAUUGCAUGCAUAUAUCUUCUGUUCAGCAAUAAUAACUAGAUGACUCCAGCUACUUGGAAGUCUUCAAGCCAGUCAUAAUCCUUAAUGAGGUGUUACAACUGCAGUCAAUAUGACCUCGACCUUUGCUUUUGCAGAGAAAGGACAGUUGCUUACCAGAUGUUUAUAAAUUGGUUCUUUCGUACAACCAAUUGGAUAUUCUUGUGUUGUGUGAAUUCCUUUUUACCAAAAGUUAUGAGGAACCUCAGAGGUUUUGGGCCCUCAAGGAGGAAUUCGAGAAGUCCUCAGGGCUUUCGUCUAUUGGUAAGAGCACAACGCAUGAUGUGUGGAUUAGGUGCAUGUCACAAGUUUGAACUCUGCCGCAGACAGAAUCCUGGUAUUUAAGUGGAGAAGGGUUAAGGUACAGGUCCAUUAUCCACCGAACUUCAGACUGUGCACCAGUUGGCUCUCAAAAAAUUUCAGUUGUCAACGAAAAUAGAAGAGAUUUUGGGAGCAUAUAC
rnacentral:lncRNA from 1 species